rnacentral:rRNA from 1 species
CCUACGGGAGGCAGCAGUGGGGAAUAUUGCACAAUGGGGGAAACCCUGAUGCAGCGACGCCGCGUGAGUGAAGAAGUAAUUCGUUAUGUAAAGCUCUAUCAGCAGGGAAGAAAAUGACGGUACCUGACUAAGAAGCCCCGGCUAACUACGUGCCAGCAGCCGCGGUAAUACGCAGGGGGCAAGCGUUAUCCGGAGGUACUGGGUGUAAAGGGAGCGUAGACGGCAGUGCAAGUCUGGAGUGAAAGGCGGGGGCUCAACCCCCGGACUGCUCUGGAAACUGUACGGCUGGAGUGCAGGAGAGGUAAGUGGAAGUCCUGGUGUAGCGGUGAAAUGCGUAGAUAUUAGGAGGAACACCAGUGGCGAAGGCGGCUUACUGGACUGUAACUGACGUUGAGGCUCGAAAGCGUGGGGAGCAAACAGGAUUAGAUACCCGUGUAGUC